rnacentral:rRNA from 1 species
UACUCCUACGGGAGGCAGCAGUGGGGAAUUUUGGACAAUGGGCGAAAGCCUGAUCCUGCAAUGCCGCGUGUGUGAAGAAGGCCUUCGGGUUGUAAAGCACUUUUGUCCGGAAAGAAAUGGCUCUGGUUAAUACCCGGAGUCGAUGACGGUACCGGAAGAAUAAGGACCGGCUAACUACGUGCCAGCAGCCGCGGUAAUACGUAGGGUCCAAGCGUUAAUCGGAAUUACUGGGCGUAAAGCGUGCGCAGGCGGUUGUGCAAGACCGAUGUGAAAUCCCCGGGCUUAACCUGGGAAUUGCAUUGGUGACUGCACGGCUAGAGUGUGUCAGAGGGAGGUAGAAUUCCACGUGUAGCAGUGAAAUGCGUAGAGAUGUGGAGGAAUACCGAUGGCGAAGGCAGCCUCCUGGGAUAACACUGACGCUCAUGCACGAAAGCGUGGGGAGCAAACAGGAUUAGAUACCCUGGUAGUCCACGCCCUAAACGAUGUCAACUAGUUGUUGGGGAUUCAUUUCCUUAGUAACGUAGCUAACGCGUGAAGUUGACCGCCUGGGGAGUACGGUCGCAAGAUUAAAACUCAAAGGAAUUGACGGA